ACACUCAGCUCUACCAGAAAUAUCCUCAGCUUUACUUCAAACCCUGCCAACAGCUACAUUCUGACCGAUCCGCGUUUUCAGCUGUAUGCUGGCGAAGGGCAGGUGAGAGAGGAGCAAAGGUGGGUUCUGAGGACGUUAAGAACGAGCCCUGACGGAACAGUUCCAUUCCUGUUCCUGCUGGGGACUCCCUUCCUGGUUCCAAACCACGUUAGAUUGCAGCUUGUGGUGAGGAGUUGCUUGAUGAUUCCAGCUAAACAAGUGAGGCGAGUUUAAUGGGUGGAAUCCUCAUCCUUUGGGGUCCCUGUUCCUGGCAUUUCACAGGGACUUAUUCUCAUGAGGUGAGAGGGGGAUGACUGGCAUCACUAGUCAGUGUGGGCCCUGUUGGAAAGGGAGGUUUUUCUCCAAGCUCUAUUGAACUGAUCAUGGGACCAGGAGUCAGGACCAUCUAUGUUCCGGCACUGGGUCUGCUACUGAAUUCCUCAGAGAUGAGUCAUUUAAUCUCUCUGCCUUGGUUUGCCCAUUGGUGAAAUGGGAAUAGUAAUGCCCACCUCACGGGGAUGCUGGGAGGACUCUGGCUAAUGUUUAUAAGGAGAGUUGAUGAUUAAGAGUAAGUUGCACAGUAAGCAGUUUAUCAUCUAAUUAAUCAUGCAGGCUGGCUACCAUGACUGAGUUCACCCAUUCUCUGGCAUCUAAGAGGAGACCAAAGACAAGAGCAAUACAGGGAGGGGACCGCAUCAUUUCCUUUAUGCAUUGCUAGCAUGUUCUGCCUUCUGCUUCCAUGCUGUCUGCGUCACUGUGGAGAAGUGGGGGGCCCUGGAAAUGUGUAUGUGGCUAUUCCCAGCCUCUGCCAUUUUCAUACUCUGGCCAGAGCAGCCGUGGGUCAGCAUGGAGGGCACAGGAAGGAAACGGUGGCAGAUUUCAGGCUGCCCUCAGUCUCUGAGUUUAUUUACAGCACAGACCAUGCUGCCCGCAAGUGAUCAGCUCCAGAACAUUAAAGACCCAUUGGAUUCCAGGCCGGGAGUGUUUAACAGACGAUCUACCUUCUGCGGCAGGUUGCUCCUUUCCUUGUGCUGCUUCUCACACCCACAGCUCAAAGUGGUUCCUGUAGCACUUACAGGUGCCUGCAUACAUUCAUCUCUGCUUCAUGCCAGCGUCCUUUGUUCCUGUGAGGCUGGGCUGGGUUUGUCCCAUACAUGCCCUGAUGAGGUCUGAACUGUCCCUCUGCUCUUGGAGAGUUUUUGCUUGUGCUUAUUUUCAGACAUGAAGAUCUAUUUUCAGCCCAUAAUUACAUACAUGAAAUUAUAACCUAUAACAUCACUGUAACAAUAAUGCUCAGUGCAUCAUGAGCCUUCUGAAGACACCUGACAAGACAAACUUUGCAGUGGAUACCACACAAUCAUUUUACAAGGAUGAGCAUGGGGCUGCUCGGUGUUCUCCCGAGGUACAGAGCAUCACAGGAGGGUCCCUUGUAUGAGAGAGACGUGUGAUUUUAGUACUUUUGAGUGGAGUUGAUGCUGCUUUGACAGCCCCUCAAGAUGAAGUCCUCUCUUUAUCCACAGGGUAAAUGCAGCGUGAGCAGUAGGAAGCCCAGCCUUCCCUCACUGCCCUGUUAGUGCUCCUCGGCCUCGACCUGGCAGGACUGUCCCUAAGGAUGAGUUCUAGGCCCAUUGAUAACGAAUUCCUGCUUUGACUCCCGUCCCAGGUCAAUUAGUGCCAUUUGGGGUGAGAAAUUUAGCACACUGGAUAUGACUAAGCCAAGGGCAGGGGGAGGGGGCAGAGAAAGCAUCAAAUUGUCACAAUGUCUGGUCACUACAGCCUGGGGCUGCAUUCAAGCUGGCAUUCUAGGCUCAAGAAGCUUUACAUCUCCCAACAUGUCACUAUAAAGGAAAUAUAAUGGGAAGUCCAUGGGAAUUCUGGUGCACACACCAGCUAGCAACUGUAGAUGAUAGAUGCAAAACCAAAGACAUUGCCUGAUCGUAAUUAAAUUAUGCCUCUGUGACGGAAUAGGGAGUGGGGAGUAUUGACCUGGGGAUGUUGCGUGGGAGUUUUACUGGUACCGUCUGCAUUGGUGCUGGAUGGUGAUGGGAUAUCAGGGUGUGACUUCACUUGAGGAAUGAUACUUGAGCGUGUAACCUGAGUCUAGGAGAGGGAUGGGGCCGGGUGACACCUUCUGCCUGGGAAACUGGACAAUGGCUGGAGGAGGAGCCUGGCUGGGUGAGACGGCUGGAGGGGGUUUCAGUUUGGAGCUGGGGAACCAGAGGAAGACCCAGGACCAGGGUCUAGGCUCCCUGCCCCCCAUGAUGGACCUGACUGAGGGGGUCCUGUUGUCUGUACCUACAAGCUCUGUUUGGGACUCUGUUCCUGUCAUCUAAUAAACCUUCUGUUUUACUGGUUGGCUGAGAGUCACACUGAAUCGAAGGAAGUGAGGGGGUUCAGGGCUCUGACUCCCCAACUCUCCGUGACAGCCUCCCAGCGUGGAGAGAGAGUUGAGACCCCCCCACACCCCUUCCACCUUCUACUGCAUCCAACCAAUGUACAGGAAUAGUCUGGCUUCCAUAGCACUAGAACAUGGAGUAUGCAUAUGUGGGUUUGUGGUCCACUCCUACAUACACCAGGAUGGCAGUGCUGUGCACUAACCUAGGCUGCUACAUGCUUACAUAAGAAUCAUGCUUCCAGCCACCUUCCUGGGGAUGGUGAACCUGCCCAUCUCACCAGCAUGGCUCAACAUAAUAAUAGAAGCAAUCAAAUUCUGACUGAGUAGGCAAACACAUGGAGUUAGUUGGCUCUGAAAGAGGUUUGAAAAGUUCAGUCCAUUUAUUAAUGACCAGCAGUAGGAUCCAACAGAAGAAAAAUGUCCAUUCUGCUGAGCUUCUCAGAUGCCUCUGAUAUUCUCCUCUGAUUUCCAUAGUAAUAAAUUGUCUAUGAAAAAAAUCUAUCUAGAAUGUUGUGAACAAUUUUUUAAAGAACUUGGAUAUGAAAGUAAUUGCUCAGAGAUCUGUAUCUAAAUUGCUGAACUGGUACCAACCAAAGAGCAAAUGUGAUUUUGACAAAUGUUCCUAGCACACUCAGAAGCUGUGACAUUGUGAGGAGUGGAAUAACUCAGCCAAUAACAGGCUAUGGAAGGCUUAACGUUUGACUUUUUCUUCCAUAGUUGUUGUUACUUAAAAUGUCAACUUCAUUUGACUUGCUGUUGUAUGCAACUUUCACAUAAUGGGCCUGAUUCUCCAUUGACUGCAUCCUGGGUAGUUAUUCUCAUCAGUGCCCAAUGGGUGUGAAAUUCCACCAUCCUCACUUGGUUGUGUUUCACAUACACUUUGCACUGUACACCAGGUGCAGGGCAGUAGAGAAUGGAGUCCAAUCUGUGGUACAGAUUUUUUUCAUGCAUGCUUUAUUUUAUUUCUACUGCAGUAGUGCCCAAAGGGCCUAAUCAAAACCAGGUCUCCAGGGAGUUGUACAAACACACACAAGGUCAUAGUCCUUGUCCCAACGGAAUGCAAAAAGACAAAUGAUCCACAAUGUUCAGCGAGCGGUAGGAUCAAAUAGAUACAAUUUGUUAAUAGAGAUGCAUUUCUUUUUAAAUGUGAUUUAUUAUUAUAAAUGGUUAAAGGGUGGGACUUUCCAAAGUAAUAAGGGGUCCAAUUCCCAUUGAUUUUCCAUUGACAGAGAUUAAUGUUUUGUUUUAAACUAUGUAAAAUGCCCAGAUGCUUUGGCAAUGGAGGGAUAAUAUAUCAAUCAAUGAAUAAUAUUUCUGCUUGCUAACUUCAGUAUUCAAUCUGGGAAUGAUGGGACAAUGUUUUGCAUUAGACUUUGAAUAAAGCCCCAUAAAAUAGGGUCGUUUAUAGUAAUUUGUUUCUUUUUUUGCUAUAUGCAGAGGAUUAUGAGCUGUGUUCACAAAAGAUUAUGGGAUCCGGCCACCAAGGAUUCUGAGUUUGGGGUCACAUGAAGUCACUUGUGUGGUCAGAGGCAGCAAAGGUUAGAGAACCAGGCUUCUGGCAAGAUGAAAACUGUGAUUUAUUUCCUUUUCAUGCGAUUCAAAAAAAACCAAAAC